UGCCCAGUAAGUCCUAUCCCUACCUCCGCGUGGCACCAGCCAGGCUGCGACCAACCUUUGGGAAGAUCGGAUAACCAACCCCGGUGGUAUCUUUGGUCAUAGUCUGAAAUGGAAGG
rnacentral:ribozyme from 1 species